CGGCAACAGCUCAAAUUUGAAAUCUGGCCUUCGGGUCCGAGUUGUAAUUUGCAGAGGAUGCUUUUGACGAAGCGGCGACCGAGUCCCCUGGAAUGGGGCGCCAUAGAGGGUGAGAGCCCCGUAUGGUCGCACUGCCGAGUCUCUGUAAAGCUCCUUCAAC
rnacentral:rRNA from 1 species